CCGGGACCCGUCAGUCAGAGCCGCUCGGUGGGCGGGCUUUGCGCGGGGGCGGGGCCUGAGCGAGGGGCGGGGCUUGUCCACCUCCCCACCCGCACCACCUCCCCUCCACUGAGAGCUUCCACCAGCCGCUCGGCUGUCAGGCGCGGUGGCCAAGUGGUAAGGCGUCGGUCUCGUAAACCGAAGAUCGCGGGUUCGAACCCCGUCCGUGCCUGCGUUUGGGAGAGAUAUUUUCUUGUUAGCUGUUACGUGUUUUCAGCUCCCUUUUUUUUUGUUUGUUUUUGUUUUUGUUUUUGUUCAGGAGUUCAGCCCCUCCUCUACCGGUUCGUGGCCAGAGCACUGUAACUCUUUCCAGAGGCCCCGCACAGCUGCUGAACUCCCUGCAUACUCUACCCUUCAACUCCGGUCUGGAUCCCGCGACGAAGGCAAGCCUUCUCUGUGAACUUUCCUUCCCUACAACGUGCGUGCGUGUCGCCGCUUUCUCCUGCUCAGCCAACUGCCCUCCCCUCCCCCAGGCGCCCACACCUUUCUCAGCCUUGACGUUUUAUAUCAGGCCCCACAUAGUUGUGACACUUCCAAGUCUUUUGUAAGGUAAACAGCCAGAUAUCAUGUGACAGGACGUCCAGUGCUUCAGAUUCCUGAUCCCAUUUUUUUUUUGUUGUUUUAGGAUAUGGUCUCCUGUGUGUGUCCUGCCGGGAUUACUGAGGUUGGUUUAGCACCAACUAGCUUCUCUCUUCAAAACUAUACUAAAGGCUGGGUCCGGGCAAGCUGGGAGAAGUCACAGAGGGGAAUACCUCUCACCUUGCCAAUGUGGAAACUGAAGCCCACGGGGAGGGAAUCACCUGUGGAUGUCUUCGUGGGCGGUGAGGAAGUGAAGAAGGUUCCAUCUGUAGACAAACCUAGUGAUCCGAGUGACGUUUCCUGCAGUAAACGGUCCCUCCCUGGUGUUCCUCCCUCAUAAAAUUAUCUGGGCUAAGAGAAGACAUCAAGGUAAACUGCUAUAUAUGAGGGGUGUGUGAACCCCAUGCUGCCCAUGGCAACAGGUUCUUUGUAACUCUUUGUUCUCUCUGAAC
ensembl:lncRNA